GAAUGAAAUAUCCAGGGAUGUAAGGUUAAGGAAGAACAGAGGAUGGGGAGAUAAGUCAGGAUGAUCAGAUAUAGUCCAGAAGAAUCAUUUAAGACCACAAAUUUAGCAAAAUCACACCUCAAAAGCUGUUGCUACCACAGCAUUUUUUCAAUAACCCAGAGAAAUUAAUUAUAGUGGAUUGUCAUGAUAAAGACCAUGAAGAGUACGGAGCUUAAUAGAAAAAAAAAAUGAGAAUGAAAUAGCAGAAGCCUGGAAGAAGCCAAAAAGGACGGAUAGGAAGAAAGAAAGUAUCUGCAAAGGAAUGUUUUCUCUUUAGACCUCCAACCCUUCCCGAUUUAUGAAGAAAACUAAGGCAAUGACAACUGAUAGACAUAGCCCAGGCUCUUAAGAAGACUUCUUCCAAAAAGGCAGCUCCAACCACAGAAUGUCAGUCUGGCCUUGAUGACAUCAUGUCCUGAUGUACAAUCUUGACCAAAGUCAGAACUAUACCUAUCUAGCCUCAUAAUGAAGAACGUUCAAGGCCAUCUCUUCUGACACCUUGGGAAUCUGAACUCACACAGAUGGUGCUAUUGUUUUCAUACCUGCUGAGACUUGCUGAUGGAAAUGUUGAUUUUCUGGCAGGCUUGUGUAUCAUCGGGACAUUUCCACCUACCCAUUGCAUUGCACAGUGUGAGAAGCCAUAAUCCUAAAACCUUUCUUUCUCCAGGGACCCUUCCAGUGGUUAAGAGCACGUGCUCACAAUAUACUACCUGGGUUCCUAUCGUGACUUCUCCCAUUCCCAAGGUAGAUUACUCAAACCUCUUACUGUUUCAAUUUCUCCUUUUUCAAAAGACAGUUCAUAAAAUAAUGCUUU